UGCCGGGGCGGGCAGGCUUACACAUGCAGUCGAGCGGGGGAAGGUAGCUUGCUACCUGACCUAGCGGCGGACGGGUGAGUAAUGCUUAGGAAUCUGCCUAUUAGUGGGGGACAACAUUUCGAAAGGAAUGCUAAUACCGCAUACGCCCUACGGGGGAAAGCAGGGGAUCUUCGGACCUUGCGCUAAUAGAUGAGCCUAAGUCGGAUUAGCUAGUUGGUGGGGUAAAGGCCUACCAAGGCGACGAUCUGUAGCGGGUCUGAGAGGAUGAUCCGCCACACUGGGACUGAGACACGGCCCAGACUCCUACGGGAGGCAGCAGUGGGGAAUAUUGGACAAUGGGGGGAACCCUGAUCCAGCCAUGCCGCGUGUGUGAAGAAGGCCUUUUGGUUGUAAAGCACUUUAAGCGAGGAGGAGGAGCUCUAGACUAAUACUCUAGAUGCUUGGACGUUACUCGCAGAAUAAGCACCGGCUAACUCUGUGCCAGCAGCCGCGGUAAUACAGAGGGUGCAAGCGUUAAUCGGAUUUACUGGGCGUAAAGCGUGCGUAGGUGGCCAAUUAAGUCAAAUGUGAAAUCCCCGAGCUUAACUUGGGAAUUGCAUUCGAUACUGGUUGGCUAGAGUAUGGGAGAGGAUGGUAGAAUUCCAGGUGUAGCGGUGAAAUGCGUAGAGAUCUGGAGGAAUACCGAUGGCGAAGGCAGCCAUCUGGCCUAAUACUGACACUGAGGUACGAAAGCAUGGGGAGCAAACAGGAUUAGAUACCCUGGUAGUCCAUGCCGUAAACGAUGUCUACUAGCCGUUGGGGCCUUUGAGGCUUUAGUGGCGCAGCUAACGCGAUAAGUAGACCGCCUGGGGAGUACGGUCGCAAGACUAAAACUCAAAUGAAUUGACGGGGGCCCGCACAAGCGGUGGAGCAUGUGGUUUAAUUCGAUGCAACGCGAAGAACCUUACCUG
rnacentral:rRNA from 1 species